CGAACGCUCACCUUCGGGUGGGAGUGGCAGACGGGUGAGUAACACGUGGGAACGUACCCUUUGGUUCGGGACAACUCUGGGAAACUGGAGCUAAUACCGGAUACGCCCUUUUGGGGAAAGGUUUACUGCCGAAGGAUCGGCCCGCGUCUGAUUAGCUAGUUGGUGGGGUAACGGCCUACCAAGGCGACGAUCAGUAGCUGGUCUGAGAGGAUGAUCAGCCACACUGGGACUGAGACACGGCCCAGACUCCUACGGGAGGCAGCAGUGGGGAAUAUUGGACAAUGGGCGCAAGCCUGAUCCAGCCAUGCCGCGUGAGUGAUGAAGGCCUUAGGGUUGUAAAGCUCUUUUAUCCGGGACGAUAAUGACGGUACCGGAGGAAUAAGCCCCGGCUAACUUCGUGCCAGCAGCCGCGGUAAUACGAAGGGGGCUAGCGUUGCUCGGAAUCACUGGGCGUAAAGGGCGCGUAGGCGGCGUUUUAAGUCGGGGGUGAAAGCCUGUGGCUCAACCACAG
rnacentral:rRNA from 1 species